rnacentral:rRNA from 1 species
CGUUGAGAAGUUCGUUGUGCAAUUCAAUGCAUUUUGAGAAUUAAAUUUAAUUGGUAAAUAGAAAGAUGUGUUAUUUUUUUAAGUAAUAAAAUUAUUUUGGCAUAUUAUUAUUUUAGUAGAGUUAAUCGAAAAAAAAAAAAGAAAGAAUUAUAGAGCAGAGUACUGUAAAGGAAAGAUGAAAUAAAUUGAAAAUUAAAUUGAUAAAUAGUAGAGUUUAACAUUCGUACCUUGUGUAUUAGGGGAAAUCAAAAUAAUCUUAUUAUAAAAGAUAUCCCGAAAAAGAAAGAGCUAAUAUAAUUAUAUAGUUUUCGUAUCAAUGAAAUUAUAAAGUUUAUUUUAGUAGUGAAAUGCUAAUCGAUUUUUUAUAUCUGGUUAUUAAUGAAUUAAAUUAAAUUUAGUUGUUUUAAGGUAGAUAAAACUAUAAUGCAAUAAAGAGUAGGAGGGAAAAGCUUCUUAUUCUAUAAUAGGUAAACCAUGACAAUAAAAGUAAAAUGUUAUUGAAUUAGGCUUAAAAACAGCCAUA